rnacentral:lncRNA from 1 species
UAAAAAAAAUCCGUUUUAAAACGAUUAUAUAUAUUUUUUAAUGCCACAUGGAUUUCUUUUAUUAUGAUUAUUACUAAUUUAUUGUAUGCUGUUUACAAACUUGUCUAAUUAAUUUUUCAUGCUAAUAAAUAUACCACAUGUAUAUCUUUUUUUUUUUUUAAUUUACAAAAGUAUAAUGAAACAAUAUAUUUUAUUAACACUUAAGUAAAUAAAGAGAACCCACAUAUGUGUAAGUAUAGAAAUAUACACAUAUAUAAACAAUUAUAUGUACAUAUACACACAUAUGUAUAUAUAUAUAUAUAUAUAUAUAUAUAUAUAUAUAUAUAUAUAUGCGUAUGUAUUAUAUUUACAUAUUUCAUAAAUUUAUGUUUUAACACGCGCACAUAAAAAAAAUAAAAAAUAAGAAAAUGGAUUUGUGGAAUAAAGAUUAUGAAAAAGCAAUUGAAACAGGGAAACGAAUUAAAAAAUUGUUAAAACAAAAGGAAAAGGGAAAGGAUAAAACAAAAAAUAGAGCAAUGCUAAGAGGUGAAAUAACUGAGUUUAAUCAAAAUGUUAAAUUUUUAUAUCAUCAAUUAGAUAAUGACUAUAUAAAAAAUGAUAAAAAUUAUAUAAAAAACGAAUCUAAAUAUAAAUCUAAAUUAUCCAGUUUGGAUAAAAUUAAAGCCGAGAUAGCGAAGUUAUAUGAAGCUUACGUUACAACUAAUACUGACAGUGAUUCGUUUAACAUUAACAUGAAUUUUUUAAACGAUUACGGUAAUGAAAAUAACACACAUUUAAAUGAAUUAAAUAAAGAAGCAUUUAUGAUGAAACAAGAGAAUUUAAUGAAAUUGCAAGAUGAACAAUUAACAUUUCUUGAAGGUACUACACACAAUUUAAAAAAUAUUAGCUAUAAUAUCAAUAGUGAAUUACAGAUACAUAAUGAGUUGUUAGACGAUAUAGAUAGAGAUGUUGAUGAAACAAAUAACUUAUUAAGUAGAAAUAGAAAUAUUUUUCAUAGAGUUACAAAUACUAGUAGUAAUUUAUAUUUAUAUUUUUUAAUUAUUUUAUUAACAAUUACACUAUUUUUGCUUAUUAUAAUACUUUAAUUUUGCACAUUGAGAUGGAAAAGUAAAAUUAUGAGUUCCUAAUACUAAUCGAAAUGGGUAUAUAUUUUUAAUGUAUUCUUAUUAUAUGGAGGAUAAGCAAAAAUAAAAUUUUAAACUUUUUACUACUUUUUUUUUUU